rnacentral:rRNA from 1 species
CCUACGGGAGACAGCAGUGAGGAAUAUUGGUCAAUGGACGAGAGUCUGAACCAGCCAAGUAGCGUGAAGGAUGACUGCCCUAUGGGUUGUAAACUUCUUUUAUAUGGGAAUAAAAUGUUCCACGUGUGGGAUUUUGUAUGUACCAUAUGAAUAAGGAUCGGCUAACUCCGUGCCAGCAGCCGCGGUAAUACGGAGGAUCCGAGCGUUAUCCGGAUUUAUUGGGUUUAAAGGGAGCGUAGGUGGAUUGUUAAGUCAGUUGUGAAAGUUUGCGGCUCAACCGUAAAAUUGCAGUUGAAACUGGCAGUCUUGAGUACAGUAGAGGUGGGCGGAAUUCGUGGUGUAGCGGUGAAAUGCGUAGAUAUCACGAAGAACUCCGAUUGCGAAGGCAGUUCACUGGACUGCAACUGACACUGAGGCUCGAAAGUGUGGGUAUCAAACAGGAUUAGAUACCCGGGUAGUC